CCCCAAGCCACAGCGAUGCUGCAGACUUCACCAGGAACCCCACAGUCACAGGGCAAUGUGCAGAGACUGGUGAAGAUGGCAGAGAGAUUUGGAUGCACACCAGGAACAAUCAUGAGGUCAAGAGGCUGAUCAUUAACCAGCCACAAAUAUUGACAGAGGAGAGACAAGCUUCUGGACUCUAUGAACCACACUUGCAAUCCAAAACCAGAAGAAAAUGGGUUGUGUGUUUACACACGCACACACACACACACACACAAGUCCUCAUGACAACCUCCAACAAUAAAAUUACUUCUCUGCAACAAAUUUCUUCAGGAAAAUCCAGAAUUGUAAUGAGAUGAUUUCUGACACCCUAUCAUCUUUCAGUAGCUGCUCCCGAGGCUGAGAGCAGAGGGCACCGUGGAGCAGAGCACAACACGACAGGAAAAGUGCAGGAAAAGUCAAGAGAG